AUGGCGGUGGCAGCCAGGGAGGAGGAGGCGGCAGUGGCGGCUUGGGAGUCGGCCGCCUGCCCGGCUGCAGGGUCCACGCUCUGGCGCCUGCCGGAGCUGCGACCUGCUCUGGGAGUCUUUGCUGGGCAUGAUAAGGACGUUUGCCACUUUGUGCUGGCCAGCUUGCAUAUUGUCAGUGCAGGAGGAGAUGGGAAGAUUGGUGUUGGUAAGAUUCACAGCACCUUCACUGUCAAGUACUCGGCUCAUGGACAGGAGGUGAACUGUGUGGACUGCAAAGGGGGCAUCACUGUGAGUGGCUCCAGGGACAGGAUGGCCAAGGUGUGGCCUUUGGCCUCAGGCCGGCUGGGGCAGUGUUUACACACCAUCCAGAUUGAAGACUGAAUCUGGUCCAUUGCUGUCAGCCCAUUACUCAGCUCUUUUGUGACAGGGACAGCUUGUUGCAGGCACUUCUCACCCCUGAGAGUCUGGGACCUCAACAGUGGGCAGCUGAUGACAUGCUUGGGCAGUGACUUUCUCCCAGGGGCUGGGGUGCUGGAUGUCAUGUAUGAGUCCCCUUUCACACUGCUGUCUUGUGGCUAUGACACCUACGUUCGCUACUGGAACUUCUGCACCAGUGUCCAGAAAGGUGUCAUGGAGUGGGAGGAGCCCCACAGCAGCACCCUGUACUGUCUGCAGACAGAUGGCAACCACUUGCUGGCCACAGGUUCCUCCUACUACAGUGUUGUACAGCUGUGAGACCGGUGCCAAAGGGCCUGCGGCUGCCUGCACACCUUCCCGCUGACAUCAACCGCCCCCCAGCAGCCCUGUGUACUGCCUGCGUCUCACCACCAAGCAUCUCUAUGCUGCGCUGUCUUACGACCUCCACGUCCUGGAUUUUCAAAACCCAUGACUGUCAGGGCCACCCCUGCCUGUGGGCCAAGUUGACCAGCGAGUCAGGGACCUCUCUUAGCUGGAGGGUGCAGUGAUAGCUCCUCCCCACUGCCCCGCUGUGCCCCUGGGCUUGUGACCCCAGUGCUCAGGCACCUUACACUAGAGGCUUCUGACUCCUGGGGCUUUGGGGCUUACCAGAGAUGCAGUCCCUCCCAGGAACCUGUUGGAGAGGCAGGACCUGCUGCUUUAGAGGAGUGAGGCUGAACCCGGGUUUUGCGACCCUGUUUGGCCAGAGCAAGGAUCUGGCCUGGAGAGGCCCAUCCUACAUCCCUUGUUAGAGCCACGAUAGCCUACGGAGUGAGGUGAGAUGCUCCCACCUUCCCAGAUGGUUCCUUUCUGCCUCUUCCUGGAAAGAAGGAUGAGGCUGCCAGUAGCCCGCUGGCACCAGCCAGACCUCACCCUUGAUUAACCUCUCGGGGCCAGGGGUUCAUUCCUGGGGCACCGUGGCCUGGUUUUGCUUUGAAACCAAGAAAGGGCAAAGGGAACCCAGCAGUUCUGAGUGAGUUCUGAGCCACCCCUAACUCAGGCUGGCUGUUGAGACAUGCUACGAUUUUCAUUUUUGUAAAAAUAAAGCUUGAUUGUUCAAUUGU